GCGCACGGACACACUGGAACUGAAACACGGUCCAGACUCCUACGGGAGGCAGCAGUGGGGAAUUUUGCGCAAUGGGGGAAACCCUGACGCAGCAACGCCGCGUGGAGGAUGAAGUCCCUUGGGACGUAAACUCCUUUCGAUCGGGACGAUUAUGACAGUACCGGAAGAAGAAGCCCCGGCUAACUUCGUGCCAGCAGCCGCGGUAAUACGAGGGGGGCGAGCGUUGUUCGGAAUUAUUGGGCGUAAAGGGCGCGUAGGCGGUCGGAUAAGUCUUGUGUGAAAUCUUCGGGCUCAACUCGAAGUCUGCACAGGAAACUAUCUGGCUUGAGUGUGGGAGAGGUGAGUGGAAUUCCUGGUGUAGCGGUGAAAUGCGUAGAUAUCAGGAGGAACACCUGUGGCGAAAGCGGCUCACUGGACCACAACUGACGCUGAGGCGCGAAAGCUAGGGGAGCAAACAGGAUUAGAUACCCUGGUAGUCCUAGCCCUAAACGAUGAUCGCUUGGUGUGACGGGUACCCAAUCCCGCCGUGCCGAAGCUAACGCGUUAAGCGAUCCGCCUGGGGAGUACGGUCGCAAGGCUGAAACUCAAAGGAAUGACG
rnacentral:rRNA from 1 species